GAUCCAGUGACCUAGUGGUUAGAGCAUCCGCCUUAGAUGCAAGAGGUUGCAGGUUCAAACCCCGGCUGAGUCA